UCCCUGGCAGUCCAGUGUUUAGGACUUGGCGCUUUCACUGCCGCGGCCCAGGUUCAAUCCCUGGUCAGGGAA
rnacentral:tRNA from 1 species